rfam:Strigamia maritima strain Brora ctg7180000976402, whole genome shotgun sequence.
GAGAACUGCCAUACCAUGCUGAAAACACCGGUUCUCGUCCGAUCCCCGAAGUUAAGCAGCAUCGGGUCUGGUUAGUACUUGGAUGGGUGACCGCCUGGGAAUCCCAGAUGCAGUUCUCU